rnacentral:rRNA from 1 species
AGCGAACGCUGGCGGCAGGCUUAACACAUGCAAGUCGAGCGGGCAUCCUUGUGGUGUCAGCGGCAGACGGGUGAGUAACGCGUGGGAACGUGCCCUUCGGUUCGGAAUAACUCAGGGAAACUUGAGCUAAUACCGGAUACGUGCGAGAGCAGAAAGGUUUAUCUGCCGAAGGAUCGGCCCGCGUCUGAUUAGCUAGUUGGUGAGGUUAUGGCUCACCAAGGCGACGAUCAGUAGCUGGUCUGAGAGGAUGAUCAGCCACACUGGGACUGAGACACGGCCCAGACCCCCGCGGGGGGAAGGAGUGGGGAAUAUUGGAAAAGGGGGGCAACCCUGACCCAGCCAGGCCGGGGGAGUGAGAGCGGCUUUAGGGUUGAAAAGCCUUUUUCUUCGGGACGAAAAUGACGGUACCGGAGAAAAAAGCCCCGGCUAACUUGGG